rnacentral:rRNA from 1 species
AACGCGAAGAACCUUACCAGGUCUUGACAUCCCAUUGACCAGCAGAGUAACGUCUGCCUUCCUUCGGGACAAUGGAGACAGGUGGUGCAUGGUUGUCGUCAGCUCGUGCCGUGAGAUGUUGGGUUAAGUCCCGCAACGAGCGCAACCCCUAUCCUUAGUAGCCAGCGGUCCGGCCGGGCACUCUAGGGAGACUGCCGGGGAUAACCCGGAGGAAGGCGGGGAUGACGUCAAAUCAUCAUGCCCCUUAUGAUCUGGGCUACACACGUGCUACAAUGGCAGCCACAAAGAGAAGCGAACCCGCGAGGGGGAGCAAAUCCCAAAAAAGCCGUCCCAGUUCGGAUUGUAGUCUGCAGCUCGACUGCAUGAAGCUGGAAUCGCUAGUAAUCGCGAAUCAGAAUGUCGCGGUGAAUACGUUCCCGGGUCUUGUACACACCG